AACGAACGCUGGCGGCAGGCUUAACACAUGCAAGUCGAACGCACCUUUCGGGGUGAGUGGCAGACGGGUGAGUAACGCGUGGGAAUCUACCCUUCUCUACGGGAUAGCUCCGGGAAACUGGAAUUAAUACCGUAUACGUCCUGAGGGAGAAAGAUUUAUCGGGGAAGGAUGAGCCCGCGUUGGAUUAGCUAGUUGGUGGGGUAAAGGCCUACCAAGGCGACGAUCCAUAGUUGGUCUAAGAGGAUGAUCAGCCACAUUGGGACUGAGACACGGCCCAAACUCCUACGGGAGGCAGCAGUGGGGAAUAUUGGACAAUGGGCGCAAGCCUGAUCCAGCCAUGCCGCGUGAGUGAUGAAGGCCCUAGGGUUGUAAAGCUCUUUCAGUGGGGACGAUAAUGACGGUACCCACAGAAGAAGCCCCGGCUAACUUCGUG
rnacentral:rRNA from 1 species